ACUGGUCCGCAGAUUUUUUUUCACUUGCUCGACUGGUCCGUGGCUUUGAAAAGGUUGGGAACCACUGCUCUGGGGCAUUACGCCACUUGACCUGCUGUACCGUAGUUUUACAGACAGACCCCUUACCGUAGGAUCUAUGUGGUCUGGACAUCUAUGUAAAUCUAUGGAAGUCUUCCUAUCCCCGUCCUCCCUCUUCAGCUAUUUUGAAUUUCCCUCUCUCUUCCUGCUCGUUUUUCACCAAUCCCUCCCUCUUGCAGAUUCAUUUUCUUUACUCUUCCAAAUGCUUUUUGUUUUUAUUUCCACUUCCCCGCUAGUAAAUACAAUAAAAUAGGCAUUGCAGGUAACAUUCCAUAAGCCGGAGUUAACGAGCGGCGUCAAUCUGUCAAGAGGUAGAGGUAGACAGCCCCCUGAAACACGGCAAAAGGAGAAAAGCAAAGCGCUAUUAAAGAUAAAUAGUAUAACGCCAGUGGGAAGCAGAGUAUGUUAAUGAGCAGAAGAGAGAAUCAAGAGGAGGAGAAGGACCUACGAAGCUACAGAAAGCAAUAGAGAUUAAAAGAAGAAGGGGGCGAGACAGGCAGGGAAGAAGAGCUGGACGGCACGCACAGGACCAAGCAGCAGAGGGAGAGGAGGUCAGCACCCACCAAGAACACCAAACAGAGAAUAAGAUAGACUAGCAUCGCAUUACAAGACUCAAGAGGAAGGUUAAGGUCUUGUUGCUACUGAUGGCAGGACGAGCUGGUGCUGGUGACGGCUGGUAGUGUCAAGGGAAUCCAAGAAGAAAAUGGAAAUGGUAGUCACUUACGACAAAUUCUUCUCGAAAUCUCAGCAACACCAGCAAGAUCCUCAGUACAGUACAGCGCAGCAGGCCUUCAGAGCACCAGAUAUCCCUCAGGGUGUUCUGACCUCCCAUAAUGCAUAAUAAGUGGGCUUUGCAAAGUGAGUAAAGAGUAUUUUAACUUAAUAGUAUUUUGAGACUGUGCUCAAAACAAAAAUCCAGUGAAAUAAUAUGAAAUGGCUUUAUGUUUGACUACAGCACCAAAAUCUCACACCUCUGAUGAAGUUACUGGAGAGCAAUUCUUGCCCCACUGAGUGGAACAGAAACUGAAGCAAAACACAUCACACUGACCACCGUUACCCAGCCUCCAGCAUGGCAUGAGCAAAGGCAGUACUCCAAGCCACAGCUCAAGUGUGCAAACAUAGGACAGGAUGGAGGAAGUGAGGCUUUUUAAGUGUGAGGAGUGUGGAGAAGUUGUGAAAAGUAACAGUAGACUCAUCCAACAUUUGCUGUCCCACCGAGGAGCCACUGUGUUUUGCUGUGAGGAAUGUGAGGAAGUUUUUCUCAGUGAAAGCCAGCUAGACCAACACACAUCAGCCCUCCACACUGAUAAUGCCCUGAGUUUUGAGUGCAAUGAGUGUGGAAAAUGCCUCAGCAGUGAAAGGACUUUAAAAGCACACCUAGUCAUGCAUUGUGAAGAGAAAGAUUUCAAAUGUUUAGAAUGUGGGAAAGAAUUCACCUCAAGAAAGAAUCUGACACAGCAUCUUAGGGUUCAUAGUGAGAGAGAGUUUGAGUGUGAGGAUUGUGGUAUUCAGUUCAAAUGGAGAGGUGACCUCUUGCGACACAAAAGAAAUAUUCACAGUGGAAUAGCAAAUUACGUUUGUAAUGAAUGUGGCAAAGGCUUUGUCCGCAAGAGGCAUCUUGACCGACACAUAAACUAUAGCCAUGGUGAAGAUACAAAAGUAACAACUGAAGUAAGCAGUUUUACUUAGAAAAUUAGGAGGCAGUAUAUAGCUAAUACUCAAAAUAUAGAGAUAAAAAAAUUAAUCUUCUGAAAUAUUACAUAACCAAUGAACUGUUUACAAAAAAUAAAUACAUAUGCAAAGUCAAGCAUAUAUAUUCAUGUUUUUGACAAUAGGUGCCGUGCACAAUUCGUCAAGUUCAAGCUCGGGCCGAGCUCUGGAGGACCAACAAAACAAAACUUUUCUUCUUUUGGCCUGUUCUGCUUUGUAUCACUUCCCUCCUUUUGUGACAUGCUGGGGUGUAGCAAUAAACCGAACAAGUUCCCCGAUAUGUCAUUCUACAGACUACCAGCUGUGGACAAGAAACAGGGAUUGAAAGAAGAGAAAAUAACACGAGAGCAUUGAGGACUGUCGAGACACAGUUGCUGGCAACCUGUCGUUGGGUUGCCAGCCACUGCUCUCAGCUUUCUCGUGUUAUUUUCCCUCCUUUCAGUUCCAGUCUCUUGUCCACAGCUGGUAGUCUGUAGAAUGACUCAUCAGGGAACUUGUUCUGUAUAUUGCCGCACCCCGGCAUGCCACAAAAGGAUGGCAUUUAGGCAAAAAGACAGUCUUUCAGUAUCAAUGGAGGGGCGUGGUGGCUUCAGAGCCCCGUUGCGAUGUGUGAACAGUUACUCUCGUGCACGGCACCUAUACAAGGUUGUUGUACUACCUUAGGGUGGACUUUACACUUAACUCUGCACUACUGCAACUACUACCGCAUGGAUGUAGCUUUUUAUGACUAAAAUAUGUACCGGUAAUUUCUGACAGAAAAAGACAUGAUAACUGUAUUCACAACAUAGAAGACUAUAAAUUAUCUGAAGGUGUGAUUGUUGGAAGAAGGGCAAAUGAAGGUACUGACAUUAUCUAGUCAUGUGUCAUAAUGGUAAAGAUGUGAACAUAGGGUUUAGUGUGUGAUACAAAAGCAUUCAAAAGUGAUCUUAAGAAAAAUGAUACAUUUGAAAUUUGAAAUUUUGCAAAUUGUCUUCAAGAUGUGUGGAUGAGUCAAAGUUGUUUAGAGUAUGAAAGUAAUAACUGAGAACAUGAAGAUUGUUUGGUCCAUCAGUCAUUAAAUGAGCACCUGCACUAAAGCCAGCUGCUUCUGCUUCCCACUUCAGUUACCUAGACUCCUAGAGCACCUGGAGAUUUUGAGUGUUAGAGUCACAAAUUAUUAUUUUUAAAAGAAUUCUGGUAUUUUUUGAGGUAUUAAUAUUUUUGUAUUUUAGAAAUUCAAUAUUUUACUGUACUUAAGUGUUGCAGUUCUUAGCAGGCUCAUCUAACAAUUGAAAGUGUUCUGGGUUUUAAUUCUGGGUCAAGCAGAAGUACCAUGGCUGGGCCUCUGAACCCUUCAGUUUAUACAAUUGAGAGCUCAUAGAAGCAUAUCUCUGGACCUCACAGGUUGAUAUUUAAAUAAGUACUGGAACUCUCAUAUUAAUGUUUAGUGUCAUUCUUUUAUCAUUUACAAGAAAACAAAUAAUUUCAACAUGAAAUUUAAUGGUGAAAAUAAAGGGCACAACUUUAUCUUAUAAGUAAGAGCAUACACAUGAGUGUGUAGCACAUGGUAAGUGUAGUGAGUUAUGCUCAGUGCCUGCAGCUAAACAAUCAGUAUUGAAUAUACUGCAUACAGGGAGGGGUAAAGUUUAGUUCCAUGAAACAAAAAUGCAUCUCAUAUUUGGGAUUGGGUACAAAAGGUGACCACUGCCAGUGGUGAUUACAUAACCAUAUGCCAUUAAUCAGCUAAGCUUACUUCAAUAGUGACUUAACUUUUUUGCUAACUUUGGAAACUUAGCUGGCCAAUUAGCUUCCCCUGGAUUUAUGUUCACUAAGUCUGCUAACACAACUCAUACAAGUUUGUUGCUGUCUUUUGUGGGUGUUUCUCCAAUGGUCAGUGAGGCAUGGUUAGCUAACUAUGUGUAAACAUGACAAAACGUAACUAACAUAGCAGUGGGUGGGCAGCAUGUGUAAUUCUGCAAUUCUAAGUUCAGUUCACUUACAAUUUUGUCAGGUCACAGACACAUUGCUUUGUCAGUGACAGCAGUGUGCUUUAUUAUCAUUAUGGAAAGUGACAGCAAUUUUGUUUUACUUGAGGAUAUUAAGCAUGUUGAGGAGCCUACAGCAGCUGUGGGAGAGGCAAAGGCCACUCAGACUGAGGAGAGUGAGAGCCAGGAGUCUCAGAACAUAUGGUCCCAUCCAGAGGAUUAUCUUUUCUUAACUCAAGGAAGAAGAGGAAUGCCAACCUCUUGUACUUAUAAUUUCAUUUGUUCAUAUAAUUAUUUGUUGGCACAUUGAUCAUCUGAGUUUAGCAUACUACAUAUAUUUUUGUACAGCUCUAUGUCUAAUUUAUUAUUAUUAGUAGUAGUAGUAUUGUUAUUAUUAUUAUUAUUAUUAUUAUUAUUAUUAUUAUUAUUAUUUUUAUUUUUAUUAUUGUUAAUUGAGAUGAGAUCCAUGAAAGAACAUCAAGAAAAUAAAGAAUUGCUACAGUAUAGACACAGUCUCCUCAGUAAGCCAACAUCAUUAUGAAAGAUAUGAGACUGGGACAGCAAAGUGAGGAGAAAAAUAAAAAAGGGGGAGGGCAAAAAUAAUACCUAAUGAGUUAAUAGUGGGUGUUGAUUUUUUUAUUUAAACUUAUCAAUGUCAUUAAGAGAAACAAUCUUAUCUGGAAGUACAUUCCACAUAAUCAAAUUUGGGAUGAGCGGGAAAGUUGGCCAGUUAUGCAAAAAAAUAGUGGAAGAGCGUGCUCAUUACAUUUUCAACUGUGGCGUAUUCGGCAAAUAUAGGCUGAAAUUGAGUGUAAUUCAUUGUGAAGAGGGUGCUCAUUGUUAUGAAAAAUCUUAAAAAACAAGGUCAAAGCACCAACUAUUCAAUGAUGACAAAUUUGCAUAUUGAGGUUGGGUAGUAGAAAGUAUAAGUUAAAUGAACACUAAAAAUUUGAGUUGAGAAAGAGGAGCUGAUAUCCAAACUGGACCACCGUACUCAAAAAAGGGAAACAUAAAGGAAAAAAAUUAAAAUAACAAGCUACAACAUAUUAAGACCUAUCCUUAUUAUCAAUCAAUGCCCAGCAAGCAUUUCUCGCUAUGUGUAUUUCACUUGCUUCUCAAGCAGUGUUACCAGAUGGAGCAGUUUCUGACAGGCUCCACACUAUAGGACAGUGCCUGGCAGGCAUUUGCCAGUCUGUCAGGCAUGCCUGUCAGUACAGUCUGUUGGGCAUGCUCCUCAGCACAGUGUCAGGCAUGACCGAUAGAGUUACAAAAAUGUUUCCAAUGAUGGCCAUUUCACUUGUGCUCAGUAGUGUUGACAGGCUGGUUAUGAAGCUUGAGAGUGUUAAUUGAAGGGUUGCUUCCCUUGACCAGUGUUGUUUAGCUACCUCCACAUUAUCAGGCAGUUCCCAUGUGUUGUACACUUCAGUGUAGCAUAAAAUAGCAAAAUAAUGCAUAACAGACAGCUCCUUUUGGUUUAAAACAUGUGUAAUUGUACACGUGUAGCCUUGUGAUAGUUUGAGUGUGCUGCCGUCCACAAAUUGGGACCCCCAAAUCUCGAGGCUUCAACCCAGGUGGCAUUGAGGGCAAAGCCCGCUGGUCAAGCAGGGGCACUUUGAUGGUUUGCCUGUGGAUUCCCUGCUUCUGUCAUCAUCUCCACUCAUGCCCUCCACCCUCAAUCCAAAUGUGUGUAUCAGAACGGGAUUUGGUAACAGUGUUUGCCUGUUGGGCACUGCCCGAUAGUGUGGCCUUAAGUUUCAGCUCUACUUCUCUUUUAAGGAGUUUAGAUUAAAAGCAAAAAAACAAACCAAAGGUGAAUUCACCUAAUUAAAGUUUAAUGCUAGCAUUAGUUUCCACUAAAUUUUUAGCAGGUUAGCAUUAGUUAAGCAAACUUUUUAUUUUAGUGGAUUAAUGCUUUACAAAGCUAUCAUUUAUUUACCUGUGCCCACUACUGAUCACUGGUAGAUUUGAGUAAGAGUUUGUAAGUACAUAGGGAAAAGUGAAAGUGACUAGUACUAUGAAUGAAUCAGGUUAUUGUACAUGUUUAAUUAUAGAUAGAAACUUGUGUAUGGUAUGCAAGUAAAUGUCCAUUAACUCUUUUGCACCUGUAAAUAUAAACAGUUACCCAUUGCAAUAUGGGUAACUUAUGCAACAGCAAAGUUGACUGGUUUUGUAUAAACUUACUUUCAGAUACUGUCUAGAAGUAGAUAAAUUUGAGUCAUUGUAAUACUGUAACUCAGAGUAUCCAGUUUUCAAGGCAUUUUAUUCCAUCCUCAUGGAAAUUUCAUGGAAAAAUCAUCUCUGGUGCCAUGGAUGAAUGUCAUGAGAAGAUUGUUCAUUGGGUUUCUAAUAGUUUGGAAAUUGUUAGGUUGUUUGGUUCUUAUAGUAUACAUGAUCAUCCAAAUUCAGAUAAUAUGUAGUAUUACAUAUGAGGCAUCUAGAACUCGAGGGGCGAACACUCCAACAUGGCGUAUUUUGAGUUUUCGCCGGAUUACGCUCGAUGGAAGCACUGUACAACCCUCUAUGAAUGCGAAAAUGGGAAAUUUGUCUCUAUGGCCCAGUAGAAGGGUGGUGAGGGUAGCGUGAGUUUGCCUGUCCGCAGAGUGUAUGAAGUAGGCUGUAUCAGGUCUCUUAGGGCAAAGAGCACUAGUAAAACACUCAUAAAACACCUAAAUAUGGGAAUUUUGUUUUGAAAUUUAAACUGGCUGUUAGUUACAUCGUGUUCUUUUGAUUUUCUGAGUUUGGAUUAAAUCAGAUAAUACACAUGCAUUAAUAAAAAAAAAAUAC